UAGGGAAUCUUCCGCAAUGGGCGAAAGCCUGACGGAGCAACGCCGCGUGAGUGAUGAAGGUCUUCGGAUCGUAAAACUCUGUUAUUAGGGAAGAACAUACGUGUAAGUAACUGUGCACGUCUUGACGGUACCUAAUCAGAAAGCCACGGCUAACUACGUGCCAGCAGCCGCGGUAAUACGUAGGUGGCAAGCGUUAUCCGGAAUUAUUGGGCGUAAAGCGCGCGUAGGCGGUUUUUUAAGUCUGAUGUGAAAGCCCACGGCUCAACCGUGGAGGGUCAUUGGAAACUGGAAAACUUGAGUGCAGAAGAGGAAAGUGGAAUUCCAUGUGUAGCGGUGAAAUGCGCAGAGAUAUGGAGGAACACCAGUGGCGAAGGCGACUUUCUGGUCUGUAACUGACGCUGAUGUGCGAAAGCGUGGGGAUCAAACAGG
rnacentral:rRNA from 1 species